rnacentral:rRNA from 1 species
UACGUAGGGUGCAAGCGUUGUCCGGAAUUAUUGGGCGUAAAGAGCUCGUAGGCGGUUUGUUGCGUCGGCUGUGAAACUCCCGAGCUCAACCGUCGGGUCUGCAGUCGAUACGAGCAAACUAGAGUGUUGCAGGGGGAGACUGGAAUUCCUGGUGUAGCGGUGAAAUGCGCAGAUAUCAGGGAGGAACACCCGGGUGGCGAAAGGCGGGGUCUCU